AGGUGAAGUUCUUCCAAAGCAGUAAACCCAGUUGGGUGGAGACCGCCAUGUUGCUGCCUUCCCAACCUCACUGAGCACGCUCCAGCUCCUCACUGUGAAGCCAAAAAGCCAAUGAAUGAAUAUUAACAAAGCUGAGUCUCUGAAAUCCUGAUGUGACUGGUAACAUGACUGGAACACACCACCCACAAACUCCAGACAGAAGAGGAACUCCGCUUUUACAAAGUACUCAAAGAACAAUUACUGGUAACUUGCUAGAAUCCAAACCACCGCGUUACCAGGAGUUAGCAAGCUAAUUUUGUAAUCCUGUUUACACAGACAAACACUAGGUCAUCAAGGCCUAAAAUCAGGUCACUACACUGAGAGUCUUAACUCUGUAAUGAAGUUAAUCACGUCAACUCAGGAGGAACCACUGUAAGUCAAGUACAACUAAACACAAGCACAGCAAGGAAGAGAGGUUGUACAAUGGCAAAUCCAGUUUUAGCUGUAAAAAGAAUCACAGAACUCUAUUUCUAAAUAUUAGAUUAAUGUAAAUCUACUAUUGAUCGAUGAUUCUCUUCUUUUUCAUUGUGUUCCUCUUGUGAUUGGAAGCUGCACAAAUCGAAUGGUAAAUCAGCUUUUUUGGCUUUCAACGCCGCCCUUUCUCUCAGCUGACAUUUAAUUAUGCGUUCCCCGGCAGCCUCCAACUACCACAUGUGAGACUAAUUCAUAAGAUCACUCCCUUCUGUUAUUGUUUUUCGUCCUCUAAUAAUGGACAUAACAUUUGUCUUCCUAAUGAUGUUCCCACAUUUCCACACUGGCAGCUGGAGUGAGCGCCCAAGAUGUCGCAACAAAAACCAACAAGCGCUGCGGGAACAACAAACAGCACUAUCUUCUGUACUGGUACAUGCGUCUCUGUGGGUCACCUGAUUCAUUCGAAGCACACAUGAAUCUGCCUGACGCGAGUCCCAAAUUAAAACGUCCAGACGUUCACAACUCAAGCACAUAACGAGAUACUUUAUCAAACUCUCCCACCAACACAACAUCCAUGCAUAUCCUACAGUCAAUCAAUCGGCAAAUCAGAAAAACACAGCACCUUUAUACUUGGACUGCGGUGUUGCUGUAUGUGAAUGGACGACACUGUUGGAUUUACACAUUUGGCUUCUAUUGAAUGAAUGUCUCCCCUUUCAUUUGUCUGAUUGCCUGAUUUCUCGUGUCUUUAGUUUGUCGCCUUCAUACGAGUCAUCAUUAACAAACGUCCACCCUCAUCUUUUUUGUUUUCUGUAAUCAUCUGGUCUGCUGGAUGUUGUGCAGUCCAAAUGGUGCAGAGCACUGGUGCCUCUAGUGGUAAUCACAAAAACGCUCAUUUUUCCUACUUGUUUACCAUCAGUUCUCGCUCACGUGUUAUAUCACACUGAAGGCUUUUCCCAGACCCAUUGUCUCCGUCGCGUUUUUAACACGUUUAAAAAUUCAACAAAAACUGGAAAAUACUUCUUGAAUGAAAUACUGAUAAUUGUCUUCUCCUACAUGAUCAAAGAGCGUCGAAGAUUUUGCAGGGAAAAAAAAAACGUUUUCGCUUCUUCAAACCACGAAUGAAGACACGAACCAGAGGCUUUUCGUCGACGAGUCACCUCCAGUGCCUUUUAUUAACAGUGCGAUGCAUUGAUUUGCUGCACAUUUCGACAAAAAUGUGACUAUUUAACAGACAUGUGGGCAUGUACAUUCUGAUAAAGGUGAAUCUGUGUCGCAGUGUAUUAAUGACAGUAAACCUGCAUGUGCACA